CCUACGGGAGGCUGCAGUGAGGAAUAUUGGUCAAUGGGCGCGAGCCUGAACCAGCCAAGUAGCGUGAAGGAUGACUGCCCUACGGGUUGUAAACUUCUUUUAUAAAGGAAUAAAGUGAGGCACGUGUGCCUUUUUGUAUGUACUUUAUGAAUAAGGAUCGGCUAACUCCGUGCCAGCAGCCGCGGUAAUACGUAGGAUCCGCGCGUUAUCCGGAUUUAUUGGGUUUAAAGGGAGCGUAGAUGGGUUGUUAAGUCAGUUGUGAAAGGUUGCGGCUCAACCGUAAAAUUGCAAUUGAUACUGGCAGCCGUGAGUACAGUUGAGGUAGGCGGAAUUCGUGGUGUAGCGGUGAAAUGCUUAGAUAGCACGAAGAACUCCGAUUGCGAAGGCAGCUUAAUAAACUGCCACUGACAUUGAUGCUCGAAAGUGUGGGUAUCAAACAGGAUUAGAUACCCUAGUAGUC
rnacentral:rRNA from 1 species